ensembl:lncRNA
AUGAGAUGUCCGCACAUCACAGAUGCACAGCUCCUCCAGAAAACUGCCAGAUUACCGGAUUACUCCAAGGAAAAUUUCGCAACGGCCUCUGAUUCCUUCCUGAUGAAGUGAUUUUCCACAACACUUUGCUCACUGGCAGACGAGGAGAGGCUGGGGAGUGAAAUGCAUGUGGUGGCAUUACACAGUAACAAUAAAUGCAGUCAUCAGUGUCUUGAUUAAGGAGCCCAGGCCUGUGGACACGCUGAUAACAGCAAAGCUUCCUGAGGUCAAUGAAAUUCACUUUAUAAAUGGAAUAAAAUCUGCCCAUUCCAUUCUCUGAAAGGGGAUUUCAGCCCAGAAAAACUAAAAUCAAAAUUAUGACUGGAGGUACUUAUUGGGGUUUAUGGGGGGGUUCAUUAUGGGGUUUGAAAUAUUCCACAUUCCCCAGUGUGGUGCAGUUGUAUGGAGAGCAAGGAUGGCACAGCAGCAGGGAAAAUCAGGGGGAAAAAAGCAGAGAAAGGAUGGCACAGGUGGCAAAGCAGGAAAUCCAGGGCAGGGAUGGCACAGCAGCAGGGAAAUCAGGGAAAACACAGACAGCAUCCCAGGGCAGGAGGUUGCUGCACCUCCCCUGCCCAGACCCUGCUGAUGAUUUAAUGUGCCCCAGGUGCUGAAAGAGAUAGACAGAAGGAAUAUGCCUCGGAAGCAAAGCCUGGCUGGCUGGUCAGGAACAGCUGGUGGGUUUGGAAUUGGACUUUCUGUCCAUAAAGGAGCUGAUUGCAGGCCGGUGUUUGCUACUGGCUGGGGCUGGAAGGGAAGCAGGGAUUGCUUUGUGCCUCGUUGCUGCAGAGGAUCCACAUGGAGCAGCAUCCAGAUCCAAACUCACAGAGAUUCAGGCCUUGGGACAGAGGAAACGCUGAACCAAGCAUCCCUCAGCUGUUCCUGCAUGGAGAGUGAGGCAAGCACUGCAUUCAGGAGGGGAGGAAAGCUGCACAGAGACCCCUCUUGGUCUUUGGUACUUCAGUGUGAGGGCCCUGCCUUGCUGCCUGUCACUUGGGAGGACGUGUCACUUGGGAGGAUGCCACCCCUCUGCUCAGGUGUCCUUCUGCGGGAGCACUCAGCAAACUCUCCCCAUGUCACAUUUUGCACUCAGUGCUGCACUGCCCAGCAGAAACAAUGGAACAAAUCAAGUGGAGAGGCUUUCGGGAGAGAAAAAUGCAUUAAUUUUUGUUGUGAAAUCCCAUGUAAAUUUCCUUAACCGCGCACAGCAAGGGAGGGCAAAGACCUUUGCUUCUGACAGCUCUCAGUGUUCCUUACUUUCAGCACAGCAUUUUAUUUCUGCAGCCAGCAAGAGGCUCAGAGUUCAUAAAAUGCCUGAAUCUGGGUCAGGAAAUAUUUCUGUGUGUUGCAGGCUGAUUUCCCUGUCUGAUGCAUGCUGGAGGUGUUGAGAACAAGGCAUCACUGCUGUGCCACUGCUCUCCCUUCUGAAAAUGAGCUGUUAGGAGUCCAAAAAGAAAAUUAUGGGAUAAAAUUUCCCCUUCUAUUAACUGAUACCAUCCUGAUGUCUUUUGAGUGUUUACCCUGAAGGAAAAGAACAAGCAUCACAAGCUCAGCAAUAGCAAUUCUGAAAGAGACGGAUUUGAGCUGACCCCUCCAAAUCCUGAGAUUGCUAACCAGCCCCAGCUGGGGAUGGGGAUGGUGGGAAGGGCUCACGCAGCUCCUGUGGGUCUGAGGAACAUCUGCCAGGCCCUGAGCCCUGCCUUGCACUUUGUCCUGCUGUUUUCCCAGGAAAAAUCUGUGUUCCUGAGCGUUUAACCCUUCUAAACCUCAUCAGUUAUCAACUCAAGAAGAGUUAGCAGCUCAGGAAUUCAUUUUGUUCAGCAUUCAUCUCCUGAGGGUCAAAACGCACCAGAAACCAAGAUUCACAGUGCUGUUGGUAGAAUUGAUUCCCUUUUUAUAAAUUGCAAACAGUAAAUCAGUCUGAUUUAACAUAUUAUUAAGUCUUAAGUAAUAUGUUAUUUUAUUAGGUAUAG